rnacentral:lncRNA from 1 species
UUGGCGAGAGAGAGAGAGGAGAGAGAAGAAAAAGUCUGGUACCCCUCGAUAAAGGUAACUUCCUCUCUCCUCCUCUCUUCUCUCUUUAUUUCUCUCUCCUCUCUUAUCUAUCUUGCUCUCUCCUCCCUUCGCUCUUUCUCUCUCCUCUAUUCUCUCUCAUCUCUUCUCUCUUUCUCUCUUUCUCUGUCCUCUCUUCUCUCUCUUUCCCCUCCUAUCUUACAUCUCUUUCUCUCUCCUCUCAUCUCUAUCUCAUUUCUCUCUCAUCUCAUUUCCAUGUCAUCACUCUCUCCUCUCAUCCCUAUCUCAUCUUUCUUUCUCUCUCCUCUCCUCUCUUCCUCUUUGCUUCUCUCUCAUCUUCUUCUUUCUGUCUUUCUCUUUCUUUCUCUUUUUUUUUUCUCUCUUCUCUCAACAUGAUGGUAGUGGGCCAUCGUUGUGCAUGUCUUUCACCCCUUUCCUCUUCAUCUCUGCUCUGUCUUUAAUCACCCCCUAUCGCUCCUAAUCUUUCCUCUCUCUUUCCUGAUCUUCUUUCUUUACUUUCCUUCUCUCUCUUCUUUCUUUCUCCCAAUUCUCUUCUUUCUCUCUCUUCUCCAUUCAUGCUUGGCGGUGCCUAUCGCCAGGCUUGAUGUCCUCCUCUAGACCACAUACAGUGAGCCGGACCUUAACCCGAGUGGCGGGUCGAGCCUCUAUCUGAGUUUUUUCCUUUGCCAUAGACAGCGGAAGCCCAUCGCCGUCCAUAUUUUCUCUCUCAUCUCUCCUGUCAUGGACAACGGAAUCCCAUCACCAUCCAUAUUUUCUCUCUUCCCUUCCCUUUGUCAUGGACGACAGAAGCUCAUCUGUCACACCCCCAAGCAAUUUCAAUACAGAUAUUCUUG